AACCUUUAGCCAAACAAGUAUUAAAGGCAAUGCCUGCCCGGUGAAUAAUUAAACGGCCGCGGUACCCUAACCGUGCAAAGGUAGCGUAAUCAUUUGUCUAUUAAUUGUAGACCCGUAUGAAAGGCAAAAUGAGGGCCUAACUGUCUCUUAUAAUAAAUCAAUUAAACUGAUCUCCCAGUCAAAAAGCUGGAAUACUGACAUAAGACCAGAAGACCCUGUGAAGCUUAAACUAAACUAUUAAAUCAAAUAAUAGCUCCUUUUGGUUGGGGCGACCUUGGAAAAAAAAAUAACUUCCAAACACAAUGAGACCUAAAUCAUUAAUACAGGCUGACAAGCCAAAAUAGACCCAGUACAGCUGAUUAUUGAACCAAGUUACUCCAGGGAUAACAGCGCUAUCCUCUUUAAGAGCCCAUAUCAAAAAGAGGGUUUACGACCUCGAUGUUGGAUCAGGACAUCCUAAUGGUGCAGCCGCUAUUAAGGGUUCGUUUGUUCAACGAUUAACAGUCCC
rnacentral:rRNA from 1 species